UGGCUCAGUGGAAAGAGCCUGGUUUGGGGAGCCAGAGGUCAUGGGUUCUAAUCCCAA
rnacentral:tRNA from 1 species